CUCAAGCCGGUCGCGGCGCACCAUAUGCCCGCCGCAAGCCAUUCAGCACCGCGGACAGUCGGACUAAUGGGAUGUCGAACCAAUGGGCUGUCGAACCAAUGACAUGGACCCCUGCCAAAGUAAGCUGCAUUGUAUUGAUCUAGUGUUGGUUGCUGUGUGUAACCUUAGCUGAUAAAAGUCAUUGCAAAUGGUAGGGUUUCAUAUAAAACAAUUAUUGGUAAAAAAGUUACAUAGGCCUACAGAACCUUUAACAUAUUUAUACCCAGGUAUCGAAAACAAAGUGUCCCUUAUAUCUCAGAUGGUACGGCAGAUGUGGACUGCAACCUUCCAAUUGUCAACAGCCUGUCAUUUCAGCCAUCAGCUUUAUCUUAAAAAACAAAAACAAACAAAAAAAACUCAGGGCUGAUAAAUAUUAAAUACUUGAAGUGCAUUUAUUAUUAACGCAAGUCUAGAGAAAAUCCUGUUUCUGUCACAUCCUAAAACAUAUAAUAGGCAUCAAUAUAUGUAGUUACAAUGAAGUAAUGUUAAAAUAGUUGAAUCCAGUUGCCAUGAUGAGAUUAUUUGUGAAAGGGUGAAAGUAAUUUUAUUUCAUUUUUUUGUGUGUGUUAUGUUGCACCUCAUCAUUUCACUAUAGAAGGCUAAAUGAAAUGUUUUAGCCCAACAUCUGAAUGGUAUGUUGAAUGUAGGGGAUGUAUGUGGAGCACGUUCGCUCUUUAUGAAUUUUACCUUUUAAAAUUAUGAGUUAUUAGGCAGAAUUUCCAAUCUUUUUCCUAGAUGUUUAGAUUUCUAAAUAAAUAAAAUACCCCAGCAAGAUACUACAGUAUUUCAAAGCCAAUGUAUUACUAAUUGUACAGCCUUAGCUAGUGGUGAGUAAAAAUCGACUGAUUUCUAGCCUGUAACUAAUAAACACUUUUUCUUGCUUUUGCCUGGCUUCUACCUCUAUUUUGUUAUAAGACGAGCUCUUUUCUUUAUUACUGCCAUUGUGAUGAUUUCCCACUUUGAUAAAGCCUUGCUUGAUUCAGUUACUAGUUUAAUCCACCACUGCGUUGAUAAAAGUGUCACAUGAAUGAGACUGAAGUUUCUGUUGCAGUCCAGGAAGAUACUGCAUGGUCAUGAAAUGCUGUGCAUCAUUAAAAGGAAGAACUGGA